AAACAAGAACUGAUUUAAUCAUAUAUGAUUUCGGCUCAUACCUAGAUGUAGUAACAUCCUUGUUUA
rnacentral:tRNA from 1 species